AAUUUGCAUCCCUAUUGUUAUUAUUAUGUGCAAAUGAACCACCCCGAAGUUGUCGACAACCCUUCUCCAGUUCCUCUUCCUCCUGCGAUCCCUCAACACUCGAUGCGUCCUUCGAGCCCAUUUCUCCCCGGCAAUGUCGCUAUCCCACAAAGGCCUUCUUUAGCUGCGGCAAACUUCACUUUCACUUCUAAUUCUCAACUGGGACCCACUAUUUCCUCCACUAUCAAUUCAGCCAGCAGUGUCCCCAAAGAUGCAAGUGCGAUGGGUUCAUCUGAUUCGUCUUCUGCAUCGGUUUCUUCAAGUUCUGGGACAACUGCAUCUUCUAUGUCGAAUAUGAGUCCAGUGGCAACAUCAGUUUCAUUACACUCUGGGUCGCCUGCUGUUCCUAUGAUACCUGGCUUGCCUGUGCAAGGAGCUUCCAAUGUACUGUCCUCCAGUCCUUCAGUCUCUUCUGCAGUGAUGAGUUCAUUCUCACCUGCAGUGUUGAGACCUGUCGUGCCAAUGGUACUGCCUCCAUCAAAUCCAGCUGUUCAACCACAAGUAUAUCCUAUGUAUGCAACUAUACCUUCUGUUGGUGCUUCACCUCAACCAUUCUGGUUGCAGCCCCCACAAAUGGCUGGACUGAGGCCCCCAUUCUUACAAUAUCCUCCUGCUUAUCCUGGCCCAUUUAAUUUGGCAGCACGUGGCAUGUCUCUUCCUUCUGUUCCUCUCCCAGAUGCUCAGCCUCCUGGUAUUACACCUGUUGUAUUCCCUGGUGGUGUGCGUCCAGUUGCUGUUUCUGGUAUGCAGAUGGCACAUAUUUCUGUGAUGCAACCCGAAGUACCACCUCCUGGGACUGAUAACAGUAAGCAGGGUGCUGAUACUGGUAUCGUUGAUCAUACUGUUCAGAAUGACCAAUUGGAUGCAUGGAGUGCUCAUAGAACCGAAACUGGGGCUUUAUAUUAUUAUAAUGCUAUAACUGGGGAAUCAACAUAUGAAAAGCCUUCAGCUUUCAAAGGAGAGCCUGCAAAAGCAAUAACACAGCCAACUCCUGUUGCAUGGGAGAAGGUAGCUGGUACUGAUUGGGCAUCAGUCACCACCAAUGAUGGCAAAAAGUACUACUAUAACUCCAAAACUGAGACUAGCAGCUGGCAAGUACCACCAGAGGUGACUGAAAUGAGGAAAAAUCAGGAAAAUGAUAAUGUGAAAGAAAACUCAAUGUCAUUGUCAAAUGCCAAUGUGUUAAAUGAACAAGAAUCUGGUCCUACUAGUUUAAGUGCUCCUGCUCUCAACACAGGUGGUCGUGAUGCCAUAUCACUUAGAGCCUCUGGUGCUCUAGGAUCAUCAUCUGCUCUUGAUUUGAUUAAAAAAAAGCUGCAGGAUUCGGGAGCUCAGGUGACCUCUUUCUCAACUAAUGCUUCAUCAGGAUCAGCAUUGUUAGAAGUCAAUGGGUCUAAAACAGUUGAGCCUACAGUUAAGGGCUUGCAGAGUGAAGGAAGCAAGGAUAAGCCUAAAGAUGCUGAAGGAGAUUGCAAUUUAUCAGACUCAUCGUCAGACUCAGAGGAUGAAGUCAGUGGACCAACAAAGGAGGAGCUUGUAGCUCAGUUCAGGGAUAUGCUUAAAGAACGUGGAGUGGCACCUUUUUCAAAGUGGGACAAAGAGCUGCCAAAGAUUGUUUUUGAUCCACGCUUUAAGGCUAUUCCAACAUAUGCUGAGCGUCGAUCAUUAUUUGAACAUUAUGUUCGUACACGAGCUGAAGAGGAACGCAAAGAAAAGAGAGCAGCUCAAAGGGCUGCUGUGGAGGGUUUCAAACAGUUGCUAGAAGAAGCAAAGGAGGAUAUUAAUCAUACGACUGAUCACCAUACAUUUAGGAAGAGAUGGGGCCAUGAUCCACGAUUUGAGGCCUUAGAUCGCAAGGAUAGAGAGGCGUUGCUUAAUGAGAGGGUUCUUUCAUUAAGGAGGGUUGUGGAAGAAAAAGCUCAAGCUGAACGUGCAGUUGCUGUUUUUGAUUUCAAAUCCAUGCUUCGUGAAAGAGGGGAUAUAAUAGCAAGUUCUCGUUGGUCCAGGGUGAAGGAUGGACUUCGGGAUGACAGCAGGUACAAAGCUGUUAAGCAUGAAGAACGUGAAGCUUUAUUCAACGAGUACAUAUCUGAGUUAAAGGCUGCAGAUGAUGAAGCUGAGAGGGAAGCUAAGGCAAAAAGGGAGGAACAGGAAAAGUUGAAAGAAAGAGAGAGAGAGCUUCGAAAGAGAAAGGAAAGGGAUGAGCAAGAGAUGGAAAGAGUAAGAUUGAAGGUUCGUAGAAAGGAAGCAGUUGCAUCAUAUCAAGCAUUACUGGUUGAGAAAAUAAAAAGUUCUGAGGCAUCUUGGACCGAGUCAAAACCUAAACUUGAGAAAGAUCCGCAAGGGCGUGCAUCCAAUCCUGAUUUGGAAGAAUCUGACUUGGAGAAACUCUUUCGAGAACAUGUGAAGAUGCUUUAUGAGCGGUGUGCACAUGAAUUCAGGGCUCUUUUGGUGGAGGUUAUAACUCCUGAAGCAGCAAUAAAAGAAACAGAAGACGGGAGAACAGUUCUUAGCUCUUGGUCUACUGCAAAAAAGUUUCUAAAAUCGGACCCUAGGUACACAAAGAUGCCAAGAAAAGAGAGAGAAGCACUUUGGAAAAGGCAUGUAGAGGAAAUACAGCGUAAGCAAAAGGUUGCUGUUGAACAGAAGGGAGACAAGUAUAAUGAAUCUAAAAGUAGAAAUUCGUAUGAUUCUGGGAGGCCUUCCUCAGCACCCAGAAGUGGGCAGGACUGGAGAUAGUGCUGUGCUUAUGAGGUAAUGAGCUCGGUUUUUCACACAACUUAACUCUAUGGUUACGAACUAGUCUCUCAGUACCCGAAUUAUAAAUGGUAUUUGGGACGCAGGAAAUGCUUCAAAGCUAGCUAAACUUCACUAAUUGCUAUCUCGAUCCGGCAGUGAUAUCAUGCAAUAUGGUCCAAAAUCAAUUUGCAAAACUGCAAGAACUUGAGAGGUAGAAAGUAAAGACAGCUGCUUUAUGACGCUCGAAGUCUUCUGAAGAUUGUAGGAUUAUUUAUAGUAUGUGCCAUUGAUAGGAAUCUCUACCUUCAGUUGUCAGGGAGUUCAAACAAAUGAAUCUAUCUUUCAGGAUUAAUGUUACGAAGGGGAAGAAAAUCCCCAUCAACACAGGUCAGGCAAUGUUCUGUUUGGACCAUUUCAUAUGGAAACAUUGCACAUAAGUGUACGGCUUGACAGAGGUUCAGGUAAUUUUGAUUUCCGUGAAGGAUUGACGACUUGCUGGAUCGAGAUAGCUGCAUGUGGCAAACAAAGAACAAACUAAGGUUCAUGUGAGCUUUGCUUCACUUUGCGGAGAAAUAAAUGCUGCAACAUUUUCAAGUCACGAUCAGUGAAGCACGCAAUGCGAAAAAUUCUGAUCUGUAGACAUUACAUGAACAUGAUUGUAUAAAUUAGCAACUAAAUGAAGCUUAGAAAAAUGUAGCAGUAGGUUUUUUCCUCUGAACUUAUGCUGAGAUUGUGUUCUGUACAUAUAUGAACAGAUGGACUUCAUCGAAUUUAAGCUAAAUUAAGGGUUUUCUA